GGCAGUCAUAUCACCCUGUAGCCCAAUACUGCUUGCCCACUGAAGCUAAGCAGGGCUGAGCCUGGUCAGUACCUGGAUGGGAGACCUCCUGGGGGCUGGAUGCUGCACACU
rnacentral:rRNA from 1 species